GAAUAUGGGGCUUGAUCUAAAGCCCAUUGAAGUCAAUGGGAAAAUUCCCAUUGACUUCAGUGGGCUUUGCUCAGGCCUACAAAGAGC
rnacentral:pre_miRNA from 1 species